AACGAGCGUUAGCGGCGCGCUUAACACAUGCAAGUCGAGCGAGAAGGGGGCAACCCCAGUAAAGCGGCGCACGGGUGAGUAACACGUAGGUAAUUUACCUCGAGGUGGUGGAUAACCUUCCGAAAGGAGGGCUAAUACAGCAUGAGACCACGUCUUCGAAAGAGGAUGAGGUUAAAGCGGGCCUCUAUACAUAAGCUCGCGCCACGAGAUGAGCCUGCGGCCCAUCAUGGUAGUUGGUAGGGUAAUGGCCUACCAAGCCGAAGACGGGUAGCUGGUCUGAGAGGAUGAUCAGCCACACUGGAACUGAGACACGGUCCAGACUCCUACGGGAGGCAGCAGUGGGGAAUCUUGCGCAAUGGGCGAAAGCCUGACGCAGCGACGCCGCGUGAGUGAUGAAGGCCCUCGGGUUGUAAAGCUCUGUGGAGGGGGACGAAUAAGGGUUGGUGAAUAUCCAGCUCGAUGACGGUACCCCUUUAGCAAGCACCGGCUAACUCUGUCG
rnacentral:rRNA from 1 species